UUCUUUAAAUGAGGACUAGUAUCAACGGCAUCACGAGGAUCUUACUGUCUCCCCCCUCUAAUCAGUGAAACUGAUCUCCCCGUGAAGAAGCGGGGAUAAAUUUAUAAGACGAGAAGACCCCAUGGAGCUUUAAGCUUAACGGCACCUAUUAAUUUCAUACCCUCAUAUUCUCCUAGUAAUGCUUGUUCAGCUUUGGGUUGGGGUGACCAUGGAGCAAAAAAUAGCCUCCACGAAGAAAGGAACAAAACCCUUAUCAAAGAGUUACAUCUCUAUGAAUUAGAACACUAACUUUUAAUGAUCCGAUAAUCGAUCAA
rnacentral:rRNA from 1 species